UCUUUGCGGUGCACCGGCCUUUCCGCAACAGCUCAUGAGGGCGGUCUCAAAGCCUGCAUAAUGAAAUCAGUCUAUCCAUAAUUAGGUGACAUCUAGGGUUCACAAUUUCAUUUUCUCAGUUCAAAUCUUUGCAACAACAGAAAGAGCAAACGAAAGAAAACUGAUAUUGGUUUUGAUCUGCUCAAACCACUGAAAUUACAUUUGAAUUUAACUGAAACUCAAGAAAAAACUGGCCUGAUUUCAUUUAAGUGAUAUGCUGAUUUGUAUACUGAAACAUAAUAUUUUGGUAACACUGAAACGUUAAAAUGUUGUUCCUGUUCUUGAGCUUAGUGAUGUUUGAAUUAUUGAAUUUGGCUGGUUGCUCAUUUAUUCCUGGCAAAUGUCAAUGCUCCCACCUAAUAAUUAUUCUUUUAGAAGAAAGAAUUGUCAGUUGCUCAUUUCGCGAGGCAUCGAUAACAUGCUUGCCGAGACUCACCAAAUCUUCUGGGAUCUUGCACUAUUUGGUAGAUGUUGCUCGCGAGGUCGGCAUACAUGAUCCUUGUGUGUGAAUGCUUCUUUUGAAGCUUUGAGAGGCUGCUCCGAAGGAAAGAAUUGUGCCUAUUGAACAAGACGUUGUGGUUUGUCAAGCACCCGUAUUUGUCAUAGUCACUUUUGUUGGAGCUCUGGAACAUGUUCAGGUACAAUGGAAAGCACCCCAUAGGAGCAAUGUUUGACACCACAAUGUCAACUGCACCAAGUUUUAUCAAUUCCUGCAUGUUUAGAGCAGAUGUUGGGGGUCAAAGUUACAAACUGCAUGGCUUGGCCACUGUAUUUGUUCAUGUAUUUCUCACUUCUCCAUCUGUAGGGCAUGGUUUCCAAAAUAACAGUUGUGCUUCUCGUGCUCGAGAUAUCAUUUUUCUACCGCUCGCUUGAGAUAUUGUUACUGUUGUAGGGUACUUCGGUCCAACUUAACCAACUAAUUGUUUCAUUGGUGUUCAGGUAAAAAACGACAAGCCUUUGCAAGCAGAGGGAGAACUAUAAAGCUUUGCAGUUACCUGUACGCCGGAUAUGAUGGUGUUCACUAUUCUGGAGAUUGAAGGCAACAAUUGCUGGACAUUGUCGAUUUGGGUGUUCAUGGAGCCGUCGUAGGCAGUGAACUUGAGGCUGGCGUUGGUGUAGUCAAGUACGGCGCCGCCGAUGAUGGCCAUGUUUGCGCCUUGCUGGAAGUCCCUGCGGAGCGCCUUGGAUGGCGGGAGAAACGGCAGCCCUAAUGCUUGCACUACAGUCACUUAAAGUAUGUCAGUGUUAUGACAUUUUCACAAGAAGUUCAGGGAAUGCCCACGUAAAAUUGGGCAAUUUCAGGUUUUCGAAGCCCAGUCAGAUUUGAAAUUUUAGGACACUGCAUAUUUACCCAGGAAGUCGAUGUAGACCCGGCCAUCGCUGCACCGGCAAGUGGGCUUCCCGAAAUAGGUGACACCGUAGGGGAGGCGGGUGAAAAUUCCCACCACACCGGCAGGCCCUGGCAGGCCACCAGUGCAUGUGUUGCCCGUGUCAGAAGCUGAGUCCCCGAAGUUGAAGAUGAUUUUGCACCGCGGUCCACUGCCGCCACCGCUGGCCGCCGCGGCACUAGCUGGAAGUACAAGCAUCAGGUAGCAGUAUGAGAAGAGAGCAGUCGCUGCAACUCCAGCGGUGCCUAUGCUCACGAUGGCCAAGAAGUGUAGAACUAAAACUGAGUAGGUGUGGUAUCAAACUUUCAGUACAACUAGCCAUAAGGAGGAGGAUGUUAGUCUUGAUAGAUAGGUAAUACCUUACAAGGACACCUUUUUAUUUUUUGGGUCAACGUUGCAGAAUGUUGGUGAUAUCGAUGAAGACAUGAGUCAUCGAAUCAAAGGCGGAUGGAUAAAGUGGUGCCAAGCUUCUGGCAUUCUUUAUGGGAAGAUAGUGGCACAAAACCUAAACAACAUGUUUUGUAACAUCACGAUUCGACCUGCAAUGUUGUAUGAUGUUAAGUGUUGACCGACUGAAA